rnacentral:rRNA from 1 species
GAUGAACGCUAGCGGCAGGCUUAACACAUGCAAGUCGAGGGGUAUGCUUCUUCGGAAGUAGAGACCGGCGCACGGGUGCGUAACGCGUAUGCAAUCUACCUUUUGCAGAGGGAUAGCCCAGAGAAAUUUGGAUUAAUACCUCAUAGUAUAGUGCAAUCGCAUGAUUGAACUAUUAAAGUCACAACGGCAAAAGAUGAGCAUGCGUCCCAUUAGCUAGUUGGUAAGGUAACGGCUUACCAAGGCUACGAUGGGUAGGGGUCCUGAGAGGGAGAUCCCCCACACUGGUACUGAGACACGGACCAGACUCCUACGGGAGGCAGCAGUGAGGAAUAUUGGACAAUGGGCGCAAGCCUGAUCCAGCCAUGCCGCGUGCAGGAUGACGGUCCUAUGGAUUGUAAACUGCUUUUGCACAGGAAGAAACAACAUUACGUGUAAUGUCUUGACGGUACUGUGAGAAUAAGGAUCGGCUAACUCCGUGCCAGCCGCCGCAGUAAUAC